rnacentral:rRNA from 1 species
UACAGAGGGUGCAAGCGUUGUUCGGAAUUAUUGGGCGUAAAGCGCGUGUAGGCGGCUUUGCAAGUCGGGUGUGAAAGCCCUCAGCUCAACUGAGGAAGUGCGCCCGAAACUGCAGAGCUUGAGUACCGGAGAGGAUGGCGGAAUUCCCCAAGUAGAGGUGAAAUUCGUAGAUAUGGGGAGGAACACCGGUGGCGAAGGCGGCCAUCUGGACGGAUACUGACGCUGAGACGCGAAAGCGUGGGGAGCGAACGGG